rnacentral:rRNA from 1 species
UGACCUGCCUUCGAGUGGGGGAUAACGUCCCGAAAGGGUCGCUAAUACCGCAUGACAUCCUGCCUUUGAAAAGGCGGAGAUCAAAGCUGGGGAUCGCAAGACCUGGCGCUCAAAGAGGGGCCCGCGCCUGAUUAGCUAGUUGGUGGGGUAACGGCUCACCAAGGCAACGAUCAGUAUCCGGCCUGAGAGGGCGGACGGACACACUGGGACUGAGACACGGCCCAG